CAAACAUUGAAACAUUUACAGCAACACAGAGGUGCGCUGACGUUAAGCGGGAGUUCGAGCGCGUCCAGUCUGCACGGUCCGCCCCGCAACAUGACGUAUCUGUACCGAUACCUAUCGGUGCUACACUACAUUGGACGUCUACCACGGUCAGUGGUAACAAAAGGAGCGAAUGUUUUGAAGAGUCAGGAGCAAAGGAAUGAAGACCAACGACCUUGAGCGGAGCUGGAUCGGGCCGGCGCCAUGACACGCCGUGCUACCACGCAUGCCAAACAGCCUGUCCUGUUUCAGUGUUAAAAAAUGUGAGAUUGAUUAUGUGAAAAUG